AUUGAACGCUGGCGGCAGGCCUAACACAUGCAAGUCGAGCGGAUGAAGGGAGCUUGCUCCUGGAUUCAGCGGCGGACGGGUGAGUAAUGCCUAGGAAUCUGCCUGGUAGUGGGGGAUAACGUCCGGAAACGGGCGCUAAUACCGCAUACGUCCUGAGGGAGAAAGUGGGGGAGCUUCGGACCUCACGCUAUCAGAUGAGCCUAGGUCGGAUUAGCUAGUUGGUGGGGUAAAGGCCUACCAAGGCGACGAUCCGUAACUGGUCUGAGAGGAUGAUCAGUCACCUUGGAAGUGAGACACGGUCCAGACUCCUACGGUAGGCCGCAGUGGGGAAUAUUGGACAAUGGGCGAAAGCCUGAUCCAGCCAUGCCGCGUGUGUGAAGAAGGUCUUCGGAUUGUAAAGCACUUUAAGUUGGGAGGAAGGGCAGUAAGUUAAUACCUUGCUGUUUUGACGUUACCAACAGAAUAAGCACCGGCUAACUUCGUG
rnacentral:rRNA from 1 species